CAGCAGAAUGAAGAGUCUACACACAGAGAGAAGGUCGGAUUUGUUUAAAGAUCCUGCAGCUGAUCCAGUUGAGCUGGAAUGAGGCAAGUCUUCUGGGGUUGUGGAAAGCCAGAGCACUUGACUACGCCUAAGUAAAAGUGGGAGGAGCUAGAUGUGGUGAGAUACAGUUUAGACAGUUUCACAGAGAUACUGCCGUUUAUAUCUACUGCAAGAGAGACACUCACAACAAUCAUGUUCCUCUUCUUUGUUUUCAUAGCUGUUAAAAACAUUGCAGGUGCUGUUGACAGCAGCAUUACACCAGACCAACCCGUCAUAUCUUCAAGUGAAGGCAGCAGCACCCCACUGACCUGCACAUAUGAUCAAUCAGCUGACUAUCUCUACUGGUAUCGACAAAACCCUCAAUCAGGACCAGAGUUUCUGCUGAGGAUUAUUAUAUCUUCAGAAACUGUCACUAAAGCUGAACAACUUGACCCAAGACUAUCCAUCAGACUCCGUAAAAAUGAGAGGAAAGUAUAUCUGGAGAUCUUUCCUGCUUCAGUAUCAGACUCUUCACUGUACUACUGCGCCAUGGAGCCCACAGUAACAGGAAACACAACUACACAGUACAAAAACUCCUUCACAUCACAAAAGGGAGGUUUUUCUUUUUCUCAGGACGGGGAGCUGUUUGGCUUUUUGAUUCAAAUAAAUUUUGCUUUUUCAAUUUCCAGUCUUUGAUGUUGGAAUAACUUUGAAUAUCUAUGCUGAUUGUGCUAGAAUAAUCUCCAUAGAAAAUGUUAAUCACCUUUCUGGAUAUUAAGAAAUUUUAUUAUUUCAUAAAUGUAAUUCUCAUGCAUCAGGUCUGUUUUAUUAUUUAAACCGAAAAACCCAAAAUGUCCCAACAAAUGUAGCUGUUAUUUGUGGACAGAAUUUGUUUAGAAAAAUAUAUGUUUAAGUGAAAUGUUGUGAGUUGAAUAAGACUGUGUUUAUUUAUUAGAGCAACUACAUAUCAUGAAGAAUAUUUCACAUCUAUUCAUGCUAAAAUGUGUUUAAAUAAAAAAGGGUCUUUACAUUAGAAUAUGUUGUUAUUGUGUAAAAUUAAAAUCCUACUCAGUAAACAUUACCUCUUCAGGUAAAUAAUAAAGAUAAAUCCACUUUAAAUGCAUUUAAAUAGACUGUAGAGAGUUAUGGAAGUGUUGUGUUUUUUAAAGAUCAGAAUGGUGUGGGAACUGAAUCGCUUUUCAGCCUCAUCUACAGGUAGUUAUGUGAACUCUAUUUAUAGCCAGGUUUUUAUUCCUUUUAGUAACCAAAUAAAGCUUGAUUUAUUCA